rnacentral:rRNA from 1 species
CUUGGUCAUUUAGAGGAAGUAAAAGUCGUAACAAGGUUUCCGUAGGUGAACCUGCGGAAGGAUCAUUAAAGAGUAAGGGUGCUCAGCGCCCGACCUCCAACCCUUUGUUGUUAAAACUACCUUGUUGCUUUGGCGGGACCGCUCGGUCUCGAGCCGCUGGGGAUUCGUCCCAGGCGAGCGCCCGCCAGAGUUAAACCAAACUCUUGUUAUUAAACCGGUCGUCUGAGUUAAAAUUUUGAAUAAAUCAAAACUUUCAACAACGGAUCUCUUGGUUCUCGCAUCGAUGAAGAACGCAGCGAAAUGCGAUAAGUAAUGUGAAUUGCAGAAUUCAGUGAAUCAUCGAAUCUUUGAACGCACAUUGCGCCCCUUGGUAUUCCGAGGGGCAUGCCUGUUCGAGCGUCAUUACACCACUCAAGCUAUGCUUGGUAUUGGGUGCCGUCCUUAGUUGGGCGCGCCUUAAAGACCUCGGCGAGGCCACUCCGGCUUUAGGCGUAGUAGAAUUUAUUCGAACGUCUGUCAAAGGAGAGGAACUCUGCCGAUUGAAACCUUUUAUUUUUCUAGGUUGACCUCGGAUCAGGUAGGGAUACCCGCUGAACUUAAGCAUAUCAAUAAGCGGAGGA